rnacentral:rRNA from 2 species
GCAGGAAGAGAAAGAAAUAUCGAUUCCCUGAGUAGCGGCGAGCGAAAAGGGAAGAGCCCAAACCAACAAGCUUGCUUGUUGGGGUUGUAGGACUGAACAUUAGAGUUACCAAAGUGCGACGUAGUCGCAACAGUUGGGAAGCUGUGCCAUAGAGGGUGAAAGCCCCGUAGACGAAACGUCGCACUCUCUGUUCAGGAUCCUGAGUACGGCGGGACACGUGAAACCCCGUCGGAACCCGCGAGGACCAUCUCGCAAGGCUAAAUACUCCCUAGUGACCGAUAGUGAACCAGUACCGUGAGGGAAAGGUG